rnacentral:rRNA from 1 species
GGAUCAGUACGUCGGUCGUGCCACAGUAUGUACUGGCGUUAUUGGUUUCUCCCUUCUGAUAAACUAUAGUAUCAUUAAUUUGAUGUUAGAACUGUUACUUUGAAAAAUUGGUGUUUAAAGCAGAUGAAUACAUUAACAUGGAAUAACGAAAUAGGAUGUUCAAUCUUAUUUCGUUGGUUCCUAGGAUCAACGUA